UUGCUAGUUGGAUGAGCUGCUGGGCAAGGCCGUUCAGGAGGCGCGUCCUCUGAGAAAGAUCCUCAAAGUCAUGGCGAAAUGGGAAGGCAAUGCUGUCAAUCACUAUUAACCGCACCUAUGAUUGGACAUGAUGCUCAGACAGGAAGUCAGGUAGGAGGUAAACCUCAGCUAACAGCUCUACAUAGUCAUGGCAACGGACCAAGAAGAGGUUGGACAGGAUCUUCUCGACAGCACACCACCUCCAAGGGCAUCAUCCAGGCCUGAGCAGAAUGUCACAAUGCUCCCCAGAGUCUGCUCCUGGUGCAGAAGAUCCAGGGCUGUUAAGCUCUCUGUUGCCGCCCUCUGCUGGUGAGGCUGGGCAUCAUCCCUCAACAUCUGCAACACCUCCACUGCCUCUUCUUGUGAUAUACCUGCCUCUGCGAACGAAACAGGCAUGGAUUAAACCAAAUGUUAUGAAAUUUACUUUUCAAGUGCUAUUGUCGAAUUCAAAGAAAAAAACAGAGUUGGGUUUUUAGUGAUAUAAAUACCUUUGCAGAGCUGAAGAGGACGCAUGUCAAUCAAGUCUGACGCCACUUGGAAACCCGCAUUGAUAAGUUUUACC